AGCGAACGCUGGCGGCAGGCCUAACACAUGCAAGUCGAACGAACUCUUCGGAGUUAGUGGCGGACGGGUGAGUAACACGUGGGAACGUGCCUUUAGGUUCGGAAUAACUCAGGGAAACUUGUGCUAAUACCGAAUGUGCCCUUCGGGGGAAAGAUUUAUCGCCUUUAGAGCGGCCCGCGUCUGAUUAGCUAGUUGGUGAGGUAACGGCUCACCAAGGCGACGAUCAGUAGCUGGUCUGAGAGGAUGACCAGCCACACUGGGACUGAGACACGGCCCAGACUCCUACGGGAGACAGCAGUGGGGAAUCUUGCGCAAUGGGCGAAAGCCUGACGCAGCCAUGCCGCGUGAAUGAUGAAGGUCUUAGGAUUGUAAAAUUCUUUCACCGGGGACGAUAAUGACGGUACCCGGAGAAGAAGCCCCGGCUAACUUCGUGCCAGCAGCCGCAGUAA
rnacentral:rRNA from 1 species